AGGUUCUCAAUUUCAGGCUACGGUAAUCUGCUCUCCAAUGAUGCAAUCUGGGUCUAGUUAUCGGCGUCAAUAGGUUCAGCUAACUACGGUGUAGGGCUGGAAAGGAGUAAUAUAAGAACGGGUUUGGGAGGAAAGCAAAGGGCAAAAAAUAACCGCAAAAAGGUGACGAGGAAAUCAACCUUAGACAUAUUAUAGCAGUAUUAUCAAAUUCAGUUUAAAAUAAGAUAAGCACAAGGAAUCACAAGACCAGGAAAAAUCCACUCUGUGUAUUCACUUCUCUUAUCUCCAGCUUUUCAACUGAGGAAGUAUUUCGCAAUAAAAAUCUUUUUUUUAAAUUAAAUUAAAGCUAAAAUGUAUUAUAAAUAUUUGUUAGAAAUGUAUUAUAAAUUACUAAAUACA